rnacentral:lncRNA from 1 species
GGAGAUAUGAAGAGGUUCUUCAUGCCUAGCUUGGAUAGCAGAUAAUAAUGUUGAAGCUGAGUAAGCCCUUUGGUGAGAAUAUCAGCCUGUUGCUUUCAGGAAGCCAAGUACUCAAGAUUGACCAAUCCUUGUUUGACCUUCUCCUUGAUGAAAUGGUAAUAGAUGUCGAUGUGUUUAGUUUGCUCAUGGAAAACGGGAUUAGCAACUAUUUGGAUGGCAGAUUUACUGUCACAGUAUAAAGAGAUAGGCAGUUGAACAUUCACAUGCAAUUCCUUAAACAAUUCAAGAAGCCAUACAAGCUCAACAACUAUCGAGGCAAGACUUUUAUAUUCUGCCUCCGCAGAACUUCUAGAGAUAGUUGACAAUUUCUUGAACUUCCAAGACACUAGAGAGUUGCCAAAUUUAACCAAAUAUCUUGUGACAGACCGACAAAUAUUUGGGCAUGAAGCUCAAUCAACAUCACAAUAAGCAAUGAGAGGAGGAGAAUGGGCAGAUGACAACCGAAUUCCAGGUACAUGUGACUGUUUAACAUAACGAACCAAUUGUACAACAGCCUCCAUAUGAUAAGCCUUAGGGGAGUGCAUGAACUGGCUUAAACACUGUAAUGCAAAACUGAUAUUUGGUCGCAUGUUAGUAAGGUAUAACAAUAUGGCAAGGAGUUUCUGAUAAGUACCAGGAUUUUCAAGAGGGGCGUCAUCAGUCAUCCCAACAUGUGCAUCAAAAUCUGAAGAAGUCAGUUUUAAGUUAAGUUCCAAGGAAACACCAACUGAUUUAGCCCCAGCCAAACCCUUCUCUGAGAUCAAUUCAAGGGCAUACUUUCGCUGAUGCAUAACAAUGCCCUUUUUGCUUCUAGCAAAUUCUAUGCCAAGGAAAUACCUCUGCUCACCAAGAUCCUUGAUCUUGAAAUUGGAUUGUAGACAUGCCUUAAUUUCGAGAAUCAUGGUUAAAUCAUCUCAUGUGAUCAAGAGAUCAUUGACAUAAACCAAAACUAUGACAAACUUGCCUUGAGAUUGUCUGGUAAAUAGAGAAUAAUCCAAAUGACUUUGAACAAAAUCGUAGGACAACAAGGCAGAAGAUAAUUUGAGAUUCCACUGCCUAGAGGCCUUUAAGUCCAUACAGUGACCUAAGCAACUUACAAACCUAUUGAGGACCAUUUGACCUGUGAAAAUCCUGGGGUAAAGUCAUUUACACUUCUUCAUCCAAAUCCGCUUGCAAAAAUGCAUUAUAGACACCCAUUUGAUAGAUAGUCCAAUGCUUGGUUGCAACUAUAGCUAGAAUACACCUGAUAGUUACCAUUUUGACUACAGGAGAAAAAGUUUCUUGGUAAUCCAAGCCUUCUUGCUGGCUAUAACCCUUUGCUACCAUUGCCUUGAACCUUUUCACCUCCCAUGUAUCUUUAUACUUAAUUUGAUACACUCACUUACAACCAAUAGCUCUUUUACCUAUAGGCAAAGGUCCCACAUUCCAUGUAUUAUUAGCCUAUAAAGCUUGUAAUUCAGCUUGCAUAGCCUCGAUCUACCUAGGAUCUUUGGCAGCUUAGAGUAUAGAUUUUAGGCUCAACAUCAGCAAAGAAUUUAGUGAGGAAACUUUGAUACCUUGGUGUCAAAGUAUCAUAGCUUACAAUAUCAGACAAUGGAUAGAGAGAAGUAUUUGUAGUAGAACUGUGUCCUUUUCCAAGGACAACAAAGUCCUUCAACCAAAUAGGUAGUUUAGACACCCUCCCUGAUUUCCUUUAUGCUGGCUCAGGACCAAUAAUAGGUGUAGAAAGUGGUAAGUCAAUAGUGAUGAUUGGGGGGUCUGCAAUGUCAAAUACCUCAGGAUCAUACGAGUCUAUUGCUGAUAGCUGGUCAGAGAUAUGUGGUGGAUUAGAAAUAGGAUCAUCUAGUGGAGGAGAAAGGGUAGACACAAUUGGAAAAGAAAAGUCCUGAUCUGUUGCAUGUAAAUGAAAAGGAAGUAUAUGAAAAAAACAUCUCUACUAAUGAAGAUUGUUCUGUGCUGCAUGUCAUAGAGCUUGUAACCUUUCUGAAAACCCCCAUAGCCAAGCAACACAGAUGAUAUAACUCUAGGACUGAAUUUAUCUUUUCUAGACAAUGUUGUUGCAUAGCAGAGACACCCUAGUAUUCGCAAAUGAGACAAUGAAGGCACUUUGUUGUGCAUCACUUCAAAUGGAGACUUUUUCCCUAAGACAGUAGAGGGAACUGUGUGAAUUAUAUACACAGUAGUUUCCACACAACAUCUUCAAAACCUAGGUGGAAAGUGACCCUGAAAUUUAAUGGCUCUAGCUGUCUCAAGGAUAUGCCUAUGCCUCCUUUCGACAAUCUCAUUUUGUUGAGGAGAAUAAGGGCAAGAACUCUGAUGAGUUAUCCCAUGUGACUUGAACAACUCACCACAAAGAUUAUUGAAAAUUUCGUACCUAUAAGCUUUAUAUUUCCUUUCAAAUUGGUUCAAGAUCAUGGCAAUGAAAGAUUUAAGCAGAGUAGACACAUUAGAUUUAACUCGCAUCAUAAAGACCCAAAUCCAUCUAGAGAAAUCAUCCACAAGAGUAAGAAAAUAGUUCAUUACAUCAUAGGUUGAGACUUUGUAUGGCCCCCAAACAUCCAUAUCUAUCAAUUCAAAUGGUGCAACAACUCUACUGUUACUAUGAGAAAAUGAAAGUCUAACUUGUCUAGAUAAUGGACAUAUGCCAUAGUGGUCCAAUGUAAGACUACAUUUAUUCUUCAAAACAGAAAUUCUUCUUAGAAAUGCCAUAGGUACAUGGCCUAUCCUCUUGUGCCAUAACUCUGAAUCUGCCAUCUCUCUUACUGCCAAAGAUUUCAUCUGCUCCUUGACUCCAGCAACUUCUUCCUUACCAAUCCCCUUCACCCUAUCAAUGAAGAGGUCUUGGAAGAUAAAGAAGUCAGGAUAGAAACUAACAAAGCAUUGCAAAGCCUUAGUCAUCUUUGAAACUGACAAUAAUUUGAAUUUAAAUACUAGUAUACACAAUACAUUUUUAAUGAGAUCACUUCUUGUCAAGUUGCAAUUUCCUACAUGAGUAAUCUGAGUCGAAUCUUUAGUAGACGUUUGAACAUGUCCCAAGUUUCCUACUUUAGUAGCCUUAACCAACAAUUGUUAAUUACCUAUCAUAUGAUUAGUAACCCUUGUGUCUACUAUCCAAGUAGGACUAAAAUCAGAAGCAAACAAAGAAAUACCUACCAUGUGUGCACUAGGUUCACCAACUAAAGUUUUGUUCAACAAAUUGAGGAUAUUUAGUAUGGCUCAGGGGUGAAGACUGGUGCUAUAAUAGGUGUGAGUGGACGAGGAAUAGAAGCAACAUUUCCAUCUGAUUGUGCCAUGUUUCUGCUCGGUAUAACACCUUUCUUUUUUUUUUACUUAAAAUUAGUAGGGUACCCUAUGAUUUUAUAGAAUUUUUUCUUAAAAUGAUAUUUCAUGUUGCAAAAGUCACAUUCAUUAAUUUGAAAUAAUUAUCCUUGGAAUGACCUCGUGUGCGACAGUAAUCACACUCCAGAUUAUAAUUCUUCAUCCCCUGCCUUGGACCAGAAUAUUUAGUAGUAAAUAGGGUAGUAUGCUCCAUAUUUUUAGUCAAUGCACAAUGCCCUCCUACGACCAUUCUUUGACUCUCAUCUUGAAGCAACAUUGCAUAUGCUUGAUUAACAUUAGGAACAUGUGAUUUCAUCAAGAUCUGGCUGCGUGUCUGGCUAUAUAUGUCAUUGAUACCUAUAAGAAAUUGUAACAAUUGUUGGUAUUGUAAAUGAUAAGCAUAUUCCUUGGAUUUUGCACAUUUACAAGAAGGAGGGGGCAUCAAUGGAUCAUAUUCAUCCUAUAGGUCCUUUACUUUAGAAUAAUACACAGAGAUGGAUGAAGUACCUUGUGUUAAGAUAAAAAUUUCCUUAUCCAGAUAAAAUAUGCGAGAAGUUGUCACCUUAUCAAAGCGCUCUCGCAGGUCCUCCCAAAUAGCAUAAGCACUAGAAUGCAACAGAAGUCUACUAAGCAAAUCAUGACUAACAUUAGGCAUAAUCUAUGAUUUCACUAUCGCAUUACAGCGACCUAGUGAUUAAUAAAAUUCUAUCCAUAAGUGUCCCGCGUGAUAAUGCCUUCAACAAAACCAAGUGUAUUCCUAGUCAGCAAAGAAACUUCCAUGGCCUGUCGCCAUAGAGUAUAAUUCUCCAUUCCAAUGGGGGCAUCCCAAUCGAAAACGAGCUCGGAGCAUCCAAAGCAUGAAAAAAUAGUGGGUGAUUGUGGUUAAUCACAAUCACAUUUUGUGCAGUUGCGUCAUCGGUUGCCAUGAAAAAUUAGGGCUCAAAACACACAAAAAACUCAAAUUCACCAGAAAGUACCCAAGGAAUCUUUUGAUUUUCAACUGUCGUCGGAGAAAAUCCCUAGAUUCACUCAAUUAGGGCCAUGAUACCAUGUUAAAUCUCCACUAAUCGAUGAAUUGAGUAAUUCAAUUGAGCUCACAAAUGAAUAAGAUGAGAGAAUCAUGAAUAAGAAGUUGAAAUCAGAAAGCAGAACUUUGAUAAAAUGAAUCGUGUAUCUAAAUGCGGAGCUAUAAGUCCUUUAUAUAGGAGAGCCUAAUAUAUUUACAUUUAAGCUAAUGACAGCUGGAUAACAGUUGUGACUAACGACCUCUUAAGUUAGUUAACAUUGUUACAACUAACUAAAAUAGUAAAGUACACCAUGGUUAACUAACCAUAGUGAAGGUUGUCAAUUCCUCUACAUCAAUAAGACAAGUACCAGUUUGUAGGGAGGUAUAGUGUAACGACCUGACCGGUCGUUUUGAGCAGUUGCACUUUGCUCAGUUAUUUGAGGGCAUGAGUAGCUCCGUAUGAAGUAUUAUGACUUAUGUAAAUCAUCGGUUUUGGUUUUCAGGUUAUUUGGAAUUGAUUUGGAAAAAUGAUUCUCAGCUAGAAGCUUUAAAUUUAAAAGGUUUGACCAAGUUUUGACUUUCUAGAAUUUGACCUCGGAUUAGAUUUCUGAUGGUUCCUUUAACUCUGUUGGGUUAUUUUGGACUUAGGAACGCGACCGGAUUGUGAUUUGGAGGUCCCUAGUAGAAUUUGGCUUUAGAUAGCAAAUGUUGGAAUUUUGAAAAGUUUGACCGGGAGUGAACUUUUUGAUAAUGGGGUCGGAUUCUGAUUCCGAAAGUUCGAUCAGGUCCAUAAUGUCAAAUGUGACUUGUGUGCAAAAUUUGAGGUCAAUCGGACGUGAUUUGAUAGGUUUCGGCAUCGGUUGUGGAAAUUUGAACUUUCAAGUUCAUUGAUUUCGAAUUGAGGUGUGAUUCAUCGUUUCGAUAUUGUUAUGUGUGUUUUGAGGCCUUGAGUAGGUCCAUGUUAUGAUAUGAAACCUGUUGGUAUGUUCGAACAGGCUCCCGAGGGGCCCGGGUGAGUUUCAGAUAUGUUUGGGUUGUGUUGCGCUCGUUUUUUUAAUGUUUCGACGUCGUUUUUCAAGCAUAAAUAGUACUACAUUAAGAAAAUGAGCUCUGAUUUCUUUUUUAUUGAAGCAUUAGAUCCGUAUCGUAAUUAUGGAGCCAUAGCAAAAAGAAUCGUCGAAUUUGAACAUCGUAUAAGGAUUUUAUGAUCAUUUUACUAAGAAUUGGGUUGCCGGAUUUUUCAGAUUAAUUAUGAAAUUGUCACUGAAUUCAUAUUUAAAAAUCUGCACUAUUUUCAAAUAUUAAAACCUGUUAUAAAUAGAAUUUUAUUUAUAAUGAAUGUUUAUAUUUUAGAGAGAUUUUAGGGAUUUUACUUGGUGGCUAUGUCACUUUUCCCCUAUAAAUAGUGGGGUUCUAUUCCAUUGUAAUUGAUCUCAAAUCAAUAAGAAUUCUCUCUUUAUACUUUUCUCUGCAAUACUCUUCUUUUUUUAUUGAUUCAUAACACGUUAUCAGUACGAGACUCUAACCAAUUGAGUAGAAGUUUGGGUAUUGAGUAUAAUGAUUGUCAAUUGUUCUAUGAACUUCCUUCACGAUUAAAUUCUAGAUUUAAGGUAAGUAUUUUAUCUUAUUUUCUCUUUUAGAUUCUUGAAAUUCUAUAAUUUGAUUUUAAAUACAAGGAAAGACAAUAAAUUUUGAUUAUAACUCUAAUAGAGUUUGUAAGAAAUUAUAACCACCCAAAGUGGUAAAAUUUUUAUGCCUUGCCAUGAUCAAAUUCAUGUAUGAUUGUGGGCAAAAACAUUAAAAACCCCGUCCCAUUGAAUUUGCUUCAUUCUCGUUCCGUUAAGAGAAUAUGGUAGCAAUAUGUAAUAAGUUUGAAAGAAGACAAAAUUAUUACCAUAAAGAUAUCAAUGGAUGUGGAUGUGGUAAUAGAUGAAAUUAUAAUCGUCAUCAUUGUGGUAAUGAUAAUAAUAAGAAUUCUCAAAAUAAUCCUUCACUCUGUAAAAGUAAUGUUUGUCAUCGAUUUGACAUGAGAUUUUAUAAAUCACAUAUAGAUGAUUAUGGUUCAUUCUGUGAAUGUGACAACAUGUGAUUUACGAGUACAUAUUCAUUCUUGGAAGAAUAUGAACGUGCUAGUGGUAGUGAAUAUACCACACUCACCUCUAGAAGGAGGUUUGAAAUGGAAUAAGAAAAUAAUUUCAUUAUUAUGGCAUGAAUAGUCAUUGAUCACGUACCUAUUGUGAUUAGCCAAAAUAUUAUGGCAAUGCGAUUAUUGCAUGGCAAAAAAAAGUGAGAGAAGCAACAUAUUUGACCAUGACCAUAAUGGUAUAACUUUCUCCUUGAAAGAAAUAUUCACCAUAUGGAUGUUAAUGAAUAUGUGGUAGUACAAAAUUAGCUGAAAGCUCUGGAAGAGCCAAUUAUACAAUUUUGGAGAAAUAAAAUUAAUUAUCAAUAAGGUAUUGUGUUGUAGUAAGUCUCAAAAAAAACUUAAUUAAGUUUCUAAAGUAUUCGCGAAAGCGGUUGGUUAUAUUGAGACUAUAAAUAAAGGAAAGAUUUAAUAUCUUUUAUUACUACAACUUGUAUCGGGGUAAUAUGCAUGCGAAAAGUUACCCGCUUUAUUCUCCAGUUUGUACUACACAAAUAAAAGAAUACCAUACUAAGUGGAUGUUUAUUGAUAUAAAAAACCCAUAUCAUAAUAAACUUGGAGUUUAUUGGUAAUUGCAUACAUCAUGGUGUAAACUUGAAUUUUAUCAAUAUUGAUAAUUUAUUCAGUUGGCAUAAUUGGUUUAGCCAUGUUAAUUUAAGUAUGAUGUACAAAAAUAAAAGUGUGAUGACCCGGCCAGUCGUCUCAUGAGCUGCCGCUCCGUUUUCUCUAUUUCUGCUUUACUAUACUUUAAUUAUCCGUGUUAUGUGGUAUCGGGUUGGUCAGAUCGAGUUCGGAAGGAUUUGGCAAGGUUUGAGACACUUAGUCUCUUUAGAGUAAGUUUAAGUUGAAAAAGUCAAUCGGAUGUUGACUUAUGUGUUAGAGGGCUCAGAUGUGAGUUCUGAUGGUUCGGUUAGCUUCGGGAGGUGAUUUGUGGCUUAGGAGCGCGAUCGAAAUGAAUUUUUGGAGGUCCAUAGUAGAUUUAGGCUUGAAUUUGCGAAGUUGAUAUUUUGGCGAUUUCCAGUUGAUAGGUGAGAUUUUGAUAUAGGGGUCAGAAUGGAAUUUAGAGAGUUGCAGUAGCUUCGUUAUGUCAUUUGGGAUGUGUGUGCAAAAUUUCAGGUCAUUCGGACGUGAUUUGGUUGGGUUUUUGAUCAAAAGCGUAUUUCAGAAGAUUUUAGAAAUUUAGGCUUGAAUCCGAUGUGUUUUGGGUGAUUUGAAGUUGUUUGAGGUGUUUUAAUGAUUGGAACAAGUUUGAAUAAGAUUUUAGGAUAUGUUGGUGCCUUUGGUUGAGGUCCCGGGGGCCUCCGGUGAGUUUCGGGUGGUCAAUCGGAUCAUUUGAAGUUGGAAAAGAUUGCAGAAAAUGCUGUUUAGCUGUUGCAGGGAUUUUUCCUUUCGCGUUCGCGAGUGGAGCCUCGCAUUCAUGAAGAGGCAGUUGAGGAUGGAAAGAAUUAAGCCUUCGCGUUCGCGAGAAGGUCUUCGCGUUCGCGAGAAGGUCUUCGCGUUCGCGAGAAGGUCUUCGCGUUCGCGGAGGGCUGGCAAGUGGUGCAUCGCGUUCGCGAGAAGGUCUUCGUGAUCGCGUAGAGGAAAUUGGGUCAGAUGGGUUCGAGGUUCAGUGUUCAUCGCGUUCGCGUAUGAGUGAGCACGUUCGCAAAGUUUAAGGUGGACGAAGCAUCAUGUUCGCAAUGGUCAUUAUGCAUUCGCAUAGAGGAAAAGUUGGUCAACGCGAGUUUGUGCUUCGCGAAUGCGUGGGUUACCGCGUUCGUGAAGAAGGAAAUAUAGGCCUGGGCAGAAUGUUUUUAAGUCGUCUUGUUCGCGAUUUUGGGGCUUAUUUCACCCAUAGCUGCUCGUUUUUGGAGAUUUUUGAAGGAAAUUGAAGAGGUAUUCAAGUGGAAUCAUUGGGAGGUAAGAUUCGUGGACUAAAAACUCGAUUAUUACGCGAAUUCCACCUAGAAAAUCAUGAAAGCUAAGCCUAAAAUUGAAGAACUAGGGCAUGAGAAAUUGGACUUUUGAUUGGGGAUUUGGAGGACCAUUUGGGGUCGGAUUUGAGAACUUUUGAUAUGUAUGAACUCGUGGGAAGAUAAAGAAUCUAAUAAUGUAAAAAUUUCUGAGUUUCGAGAAGUGGGCCCGGGGCUCGGGUUUUGCUAAUUUCGGGAUUUGUGCCCUUUAUUGUUUGUUUUCGCUUGGGCUUUGUUCCCUUAGCAUAUUUUGACAUCCUCGUUCUGAUUUUAGAUAGAUUCGACGCGCGUGGAGGCCGAUUCGAGGGGCAAAGGUGUCGCGAGCUAGAGAUUUAGCCGGUUCGAGGUGAGUAAUGAUUGUAAAUGAUGUUCUGAGGGCUUGAAACCCCGGAUUGCACAUUGUAAUGCUAUAUUGAGGUGAGACACACGCUUGAUGGCGAGCAUGAGGUCGUGCACUAUUGGGGAUUGUGAAUCGGUCCGUCCCGAUUGAUGAUUUUACCGUGUAUUUGAUUGAAAACUAUUUGCUAUCAUCAUUAUUUGGGCUGAAUGCCACAUUUGGGCCUAGGGCCAACUAUUUGAACCCUUCAGGGCUAUUUAUUGAUUUUCCUCAUUGUUUUGACUUAUUACUUGAUCUUAGUCAUGUUAUUUCCCACUGUUUUCAUACUCAGCCAUGUUUACUCAGUUUUAAGACUUAAAUGAUAUUUUAAAUGAUGUUUGGNNNNNNNNUACUGUUCUGAAAUGUUGCCCGAAGGGCAGAUUUUGCUGAUACUGUGCCCAAGGGGAGAACUUCUAUUUGUUUACUUUAUCCUAAUUAUCUGUCAAUUACCUGUUUACUAGUUGAAAGAGUAUUUUAUUUGAUUUUACUAGUUUUACUGUUGUUAAGUGAUUUUACUGCUUCAUAUAGAAUGCCUUGUGCCUUACGUGUGUUCUUACUUUCAGUCAUUAUUUACAUUUGUUACUCACUUAGUUGGAGUACUCACUUUACUCUCUACACCCCUAUGUGCAGAUUCACGCGUUGCUGGUUCUGCUCCGGAGUGCUGAUUUCCUCCAGUUCCAGGCGGGCCUUUCGGAGAUUACGAGGUAGUUGUUGACGUCCGCAGCCCCGUGUCUCUACUCCUCUAGCACUUUUGUUCCUUUUCAAACAUUUAUAGUAGUUCAUGACUUUAGCAGACUUGUAUUAUGGCUCAUAGAUGCUUGUGACUUGUGUCACCCCGGUUAGGGCUGUGUUGGGUUGUACUUUCGCACUUUAUUAGCAUUAUUCGCUACUUAGUAUUGCUAUAUCAUGUUCUAGAUUGCCUUUAUGUUAUUUAACUGUUUAAAAAGUGAAUUGUGUUUAACGAUGGUUA